rnacentral:rRNA from 1 species
UUAGGCCUCAGAUCAGGCAAGACUACCCGCUGAACUUAA